AUAAAACUGGAUUUUCAAGCUUUUGGAAGCCUCUCGGGGGCAAUCAUCCUGGAAGUCAAAUUCGUCAAAGUAGCUAAUGAAGAGACUUCAGAGAUCUUGAAUGCAUCUAAGCCAGCAGCUCUCCGUGUCUCAUAAAGUUAGUGAUUUUGCCAACUUCCUGGAGGGUCAUUUCUGAUUCUGCAAAAGAGCUGCAUUUCCUUUCGAAUGGAGCCUGGGAGAGAGGGAGAAGUGGUCGCUGGAGUUGAUGCUCUCUAAUAAAUGUUUAAGCUGUAGUGGUAAGAAAUGUUUAGAAAAUAUAAAUGUGGCUGUUUGUGUAUAUCCAUUGACAUAGUUGAAAUAAAAUGGUGAAUUUAA